AGCAUCUUCUGCGCCAGGGAUAACGCACUGAGAGUUCUUGACGUUUUUUUCUUUAGAUUGAACGCAGAACAACACAUAUUAGAGUAGCUGUGCCCCAAAACAAACAAGUUAUACCAGGCAGCACUCCUCAGCAGCACUGCUACAAACAGCUCGCCAUCCUUGAGCACCACCAGACAUGGUCCCAGCCGCAGGGACUGCUACUCCCAGGGCUGUGGCCACCAUGCUUCUCCCUCUCCUCCCUGCCUUGUGCUCCCACCCCCACCCUCCAGGGUGACCUUAUUUUCCAGAACCAUGGGCAGGAGGGGCAGGCUGUGCUGGAGGGUCCAGGGCAUCCCCCUGCAUCCCACUGCAUCCCCGAGGUCAGGUCCAGGUCCGAGGGAGGGCCCAGUGCUGGCGAAGUCUGCUUCCCUCCUCCAACCACCGACCUAUGUUAAUAUGUCCUUCUGCCUCUUUACUCAGGAUUCCGUGUAGAUCCAUCCUCUCCCUUCCUCAUCCUGGGCUGGAAGUUUUUCCCAGAAGGCAAUCAACACCAAGAGAGGCUCUAGGUCAUUCCCAGCCCCCAGCUGAGAAGCACAUGUGCAGAUGGAAGACACCCCAGGGCCAAGUCUUCCCUGGUGCCAGAGGCCCCCUGGCACCCCUCAAAGCCUCUUCGGGACUUGGACCCUGCUGCUGCUCAUGGACGUGUCUGAGUGUCUUCCCAUGUCUUCCUGCGUCCAUGUGCCCAACCUCUCCCACCAGGUCCACCACAGCUGGGGCAGGGCUGGAAGCCACAGGUCAGCGUUUGGGUGUUUUUCGGCUGUUCCCCUUCCCUUGGGAGGCGUUACCACCACCACCACUGCCGCCACCACUGCCAUCUGAACAAAACAAACAAACAGCAGACCUGAGCAAGAAGCUACAGCCCCUGAAAGUGCUUUCUGCAGAGCAAGAAUGGAAUUGCUUCCAGAUUUGUUGACUUCUAUGAUUGACUCAUAGCUUUAAAAAUCUGUGGAGUCACACCUUGGUCAAAAAUAUUACAAUAAAACAUUUGCAAACAUUUUUAAUUUUAAAUACAGUAUCUUUAAAUGGUCCAUGUUAACAUCUUAGAGACAAGAUUUCUACAAGUAAAGUUACAAAACUUAGAAAUCAUAUUUCAUCUUUUGAUAAUAGCAAGAAAAAAGACACUGCUGAGAAUAUUGUUUAUAGUAAAUUCAGUAUAACUGCGAACAUUCUACAUGCAUGUAAA